rnacentral:lncRNA from 1 species
UCAAUUUCUAACAUUUCAUAUUGUUAUCAUUUCCCCGGCAGUGGUGCCAAAAUGUUAUUCUCGUUGUGUUCAAGCUUCAAUAUACCAAAGCAAUUGAACUAAUAGACGUGGAUUCAAAUACGAGGAAAGGCUGGUUAUAUGAAUUGGGUCUGUUAGUAUCACAAUUGACUGUACUCUAGCUAUCUGAAAUCAAUUAUCAAAUUACAAAACACUAAGGCUUACUACUUCCAUCUUAAUUCAACACAUAAUCCAUUCUACGACUAUUAAUUCAA